rnacentral:rRNA from 1 species
UAGCAGAAGUCAGACAAGACC